GUGCCAGCAGCCGCGGUAAUACGGAGGGUUCACUCGUUAAUCGGAAUUACUGGGCGUAAAGGGCGCGUAGGCGGUUUGGUAAGCGAGUUGUGAAAGCCCCGGGCUCAACCUGGGAAUGGCAAUUCGAACUGCCAGGCUAGAAUGCAGCUGAGGGCGGUGGAAUUCCAGGUGUAGCGGUGAAAUGCGUAGAUAUCCGGAGGAACACCAGUGGCGAAGGCGACUGCCUGGGCUGACAUUGACGCUGAGGUGCGAAAGCGUGGGUAGCAAACAGGAUUAGAAACCCUAGUAGUCC
rnacentral:rRNA from 1 species